UACGUAGGGUGCGAGCGUUGUCCGGAUUUAUUGGGCGUAAAGAGCUCGUAGGCGGUUUGUCGCGUCGGCCGUGAAAUCUCCACGCUUAACGUGGAGCGUGCGGUCGAUACGGGCAGACUUGAGUUCGGUAGGGGAGACUGGAAUUCCUGGUGUAGCGGUGAAAUGCGCAGAUAUCAGGAGGAACACCGGUGGCGAAGGCGGGUCUCUGGGCCGAUACUGACGCUGGAGGA
rnacentral:rRNA from 1 species